GCGGCCUAUCAGCUUGUUGGUGAGGUAGUGGCUCACCAAGGCGACGACGGGUAGCCGGCCUGAGAGGGCGACCGGCCACACUGGGGCUGAGACACGGCCCAGACUCCUACGGGAGGCAGCAGUAGGGAAUAUUGGGCAAUGGGCGAAAGCCUGACCCAGCGACGCCGCGUGAGGGAUGAAGGUCUUCGGAUUGUAAACCUCUUUCAGUAGGGAAGAAGCGAAAGUGACGGUACCUAAAGAAGAAGCACCGGCUAACUAUGUGCCAGCAGCCGCGGUAAUACAUAGGGUGCAAGCGUUGUCCGGAAUUAUUGGGCGUAAAGAGCUCGUAGGUCGUUUGUCGCGUCGAUUGUGAAAAUCUGAGGCUCAACCUCAGACCUGCAGUCGAUACGGGCAAACUAGAGUGUGGUAGGGGAGACUGGAAUUCCU
rnacentral:rRNA from 1 species